CGUCGGCGACCGGCGCACGGGUGAGUAACACGUAUGCAACCUGCCCCUGUCAGGGGGACAACCCGCCGAAAGGCGGGCUAAACCCGCGUACAUGCCAUCGGGGCAUCCCGGAGGCAGGAAAGGCUUCGGCCGGACAGGGAUGGGCAUGCGGCGCAUUAGGCAGUAGGCGGGGUAACGGCCCACCUAACCGACGAUGCGUAGGGGUUCUGAGAGGAAGGUCCCCCACACUGGUACUGAGACACGGACCAGACUCCUACGGAAGGCAGCAG
rnacentral:rRNA from 1 species